rnacentral:rRNA from 1 species
AUGCCAGCGUUCAGGCUGGCCGGGCCAUUAACGAGCCGCCGCCCAGCUUGCCUCCCUGUCUGCUGCGUGCCACCAUGGCCGCACCUCUUGCCGCCUCCGGCCCCGACUGCUGUGCCCCCAGCUCUCUCCUCUGCUCAUCCCGGGCGCCACCCCGUGCUUGCUAGCUUCGCCCUGGACAGCUCCGCCUCUGCCCGCGCCCGGACUCCCGGCGCUCGCCGGCUCCGCCAGGGCCGACUCUGCCCCUGCACGCGGCUGGGCUCCCCGGCCCAGCCGGCCCGCCUCCGCCUGCGGCCUCGCCUCCGUGCACCGGCCUUGGGCCAGCUCUCCAUCGCCACUGCCACCUCCGCGCGCCGGCCGGGUCCGCCACUGCUCCGGGCCGACUCCGCCCUCGUGCGUGCGCACACCCGCACUGACCCGGUCCGGCUGUCGGUUAACCGCUCGUCCGGUCUGCCCCGCCAGCCGGCCGGGUCGCCGUUGCCGCCUCCGCGCGCCGGCUCCACUUUUCCUUGCCGACCAAGUCUCCGCCAUCUCACCGCGCCGACUUCACCCCUGUGCCGGCUGCCCGACUCCCGGACGUCGACUCCUCCGCACGCCCGACCGCACUCGGCCCUCGUGCCGGGGUCAAUCCGGCCGCGCUCCUCCGCCCCGGUGUUGGCCUCCCGCCCAGCGCGCGCAGCUCCGCCCCGCGUCGGCGGUUCUGGGUCGCCGCCUGCGCCCCGCCUGCUCGCUGCAGCCGGCCGCCUGUGCAAAAGAAAAAAGCCGGCUAGGUCAACGCAGGGGCUGGCUGGAAAAAGAUAUUGCUGGUCGCUCAAAAAACAAAAAUGUGUGCGUUUGACUGCACGCAGCUGGCUGGAAUCUGUGUCCGCCUGCCACAUGUGCCUCCGACUGGCCGCACCCGGCUGA